rnacentral:rRNA from 1 species
GCUGAAGUUCAUACUUUGGUAAUUGGAAUGAGAACAAUUUAAAACCCCCUUAAACGAGUAACCAUCAGAGGGCAAGUCUGGUGCCAGCAGCCGCGGUAAUUCCAGCUCUGAUAGCGUAUAUUAAAGUUGUUGCAGUUAAAAAAGCUCGGUAGUUGGAUUUUAGAGUGUAUUGAUAUGGUCUCUUGUGAUAAACUUGUUGUACUGUAUCAAUUACUCUUUCCUACUGGUUACUCGACUCUGUUCUUUAUUGCAUGGAGUAGUGUCGCAAGGCAUCGCUUAGUAUUUUAUUGCUUUUAGAUGUAGUAAUUGGGUAAAACUGGUUAUGAAACCUAAGGGAUCACAGUAAAGUAUUAAGUGGGGUUCCAGUUCAUUUACUUUGAGUAAAUUAGAGUGUUCAAAGCAGCCUGUAUGGGCAUUGAAUAGAUUAGCAUGGGAUAAUAGAAUAGGAUUCUUAUCUAUUUAUUGGUUUAUAGAUUUAGAAUAAUGAUUAAUAGGGAUAGUUGGGGGCU